rnacentral:rRNA from 1 species
AGCGAACGCUGGCGGCGUGCCUAACACAUGCAAGUCGAACGUGAAAGGGAGCAAUCCCAAGUAAAGUGGCGUACGGGUGAGUAACACGUAGGUAAUCUACCCCAGAAUCUGGAAUAACCGGCCGAAAGGCUGGCUAAUACUGGAUAGAGCGACGGAAUCCGUAAUUGGGUUUUUCGGGAAAGGGAGCCUGUAAAAAGGCCUUCGUUCUGGGAUGAGCCUGCGUCCCAUCAGCUAGUUGGUGAGGUAAAAGCUUACCAAGGCAAUGACGGGUAGCUGGUCUGAGGGGACGGUCCGGCAAACUGGAACUGAAACACCGUCCAGGCUCCUACGGGGAGGAGCAGUGGGGGAACUUGCGCAAUUGGCGGAAGUCUGACGCAGCAACGCCGCGGGGGGGGAGAAAGCCUUCGGGUUGUAAAGCUCUGUCGAGUGGGGAGAAAAUGCUUGGAGUUCACAGCUCCAGGAACUGACGGUACCACUAAAGGAAGCACCGGCUAACUCCGUG